UGAUGAUGGUGAGGGCAAUUUUUAAGCAUACCCUUAAGACUCUCCCAAGCUUAGUAGAGAUUCUCUCUUUCUUUCUGUCUGAAACUUAGGAUCUCACUUCUCAAGCG
rnacentral:snoRNA from 1 species